CUAUUUUCCUGGCAGGGGAGAUACCACGAUCAUGAAGGUGGUGCACUCAGGGUGAGGCCCAGCCAUUGCACCGCGGCUGUACUGACUCCCGCGCAUUUCCCAAAUAUCAGAAUCUAGACUAAUCUAGACUGCAUAAUUUCUGGUUGUAGGGGACUGUGUUCAUCUGCUUUUU